rnacentral:tRNA from 1 species
CGGGGUGUAGCGCAGCCUGGUAGCGCACCUGCUUCGGGAGUAGGUGGUCGGAGGUUCAAAUCCUCUCACCCCGACCA